UACGUAGGGGGCAAGCGUUGUCCGGAUUUAUUGGGCGUAAAGAGCGUGUAGGCGGUUAGGUAGGUCCGUUGUGAAAACUCGAGGCUCAACCUUGAGACGCCGAUGGAAACUGUCUCGCUAGAGUCCGGAAGAGGAGAGUGGAAUUCCUGGUGUAGCGGUGAAAUGCGCAGAUAUCAGGAAGAACACCCGUGGCUAAGGCGGCUCUCUAGUACGGUACUGACGCUGAGACGCGAAAGCGUGGGGAGCGAACAGG
rnacentral:rRNA from 1 species